rnacentral:tRNA from 1 species
GCAUGGGUGGUUCAGUGGUAGAAUUCUCGCCUGCCACGCGGGAGGCUCGGGUUCGAUUCUCGGGCUCAUGCA